GUAAUGGUGUCUUUAGACACCACCUUUAUCUUCAAAAUUUUGUUCG
rfam:Picea glauca, whole genome shotgun sequence.